AGCAGAACAGCACAAGUCCAUCUGUGGGUUACCUGCAGCCGCCCAGUUCAGAUCAGUACCAGAUGACCCAGUCUGCCUCGCCCUGCAGCCCACAGCCAAUGCAACAGCAGUAUUCAGGGGUUCCUCCUCCUGGUCCUAGUGUCAUGGUAAUGCAGCUCAGUGUCCCUAACGGACCGCAGCCGACCCAGAAUCCUCCGCUGGUGCAGUGGAACCCCUGCAAGUACUACAGCAUGGAGCAGAGACCCAGCAACCCCGAGCCGCAGGUAC